rnacentral:misc_RNA from 1 species
CGCUGCUGUCGGAUUUGGCGGAAAACCCGUUCGCGUUGUAAAAGAGCGUCAUCCAACUCGUCAGGUUACCGUGCUUCUGCCAGCGCACCGUUCGAUCGGCCCACUGGCCGUCGCGCGUUCGGACGACGCCCUCGACGCGUCCCCACGGUUGCAGCCGAACUUCAAGCGGUUGGGAGGAGUCGAAGCAUCGUGUGCGUCCAAGCCCGGCUGGUCCGACCGCCACCACCGUGUGCGCCCACGGCUUGGGCUCGAACGAGAACGCGCCUUGCGCGUCGGUCUUCUGGCGAUACUGACGCUUUUCCGACGAACUCAGGUUCCCCAACGCGUCCGGCUCAAAGGCGGUGCCGUUGAGCAUCACGCCGGCCUGGGCGGUGCAGAGAGCCACCUCGAUUCCGACGGCGGGUUGGCCAUCGGGUAGGAAGACGGUGCCUCGAAUGGAAUUGGUGACGCUGACGGGUCGCAAAGCAAAAUCACAAACGGCCUCCAGCUCGUUGGUCAGGAGAACAUGCGUUUCCACCGUUUCAUAGCCAUCGGCUUCGAGGCGCAGGUGAGGGGUUUGUUCCUCCUCGAUGAGGGCCUGGAAGAAGCCGUUGCUGCCGGCCCGGCUCCGGGUCUCCCAAAUAGUCUUCGGCGAAUCGGGAGACCAAGGCUGACCGUGGCCCAACGUGAAUUUGAAACUAGACAGCGCCAGGCCGGUUUCUGCGUCGGUCACGCUGCCCGACACGGUCGUAGUCGGGUGCAGCACGAUGAGGUGUUCCGCGCCAUCCGCGGCGAAUUUGUUGGUGCGCGAAUAGCGGUGACCAGCCUUGAUAAAUUCCAAUUGCAACUCCCCGCGUGGGGCGGCCAGCCAUUGGAAACGUCCGUCCCCAUCCGUCCGAUCCUCCAAAUAUUGACCCAGCGUUCCUGAUCUACCCCACCACCUUUGCAAAUAGGCCUUCACGCCUUCCACUCCUUGGCCGGCCUCGUCCACCACGCGCACAUUCAAGGCCCCCACCGCAUUCAGGCGAAACACCAGCGGACCGGGCAAAUUCUCCGGAUCGAAUUCAUGCUGAUCGGCCCCAAAUCCGUCCAGCGUCACAGUGACGUAAGCGGGGGUGGCCGCUUUGUUCAACGCGAAUUGGCCCGAUUGAUCCGUGACAUCCAUGGCGAAUGGUUGGCUGUUGAAACCGCCCCAAACCCUUGCCCCAGCCAACGGACGCCCCCGUUCAUCGAUCACCCAGCCGGUGAUGACGCCGGUUUUUCGAAGUGGCUGAGCUUGCUCGGUCACGUUCGCAGCCGCCACCUCCACCCCAUCCGGAUUCGCCGGCAGCGCACCUGCGGCAGCGGAGUCGUUUACGAGGCCCGAGGGCGUGCCGAAGUGCCGCGUCACCAAACCUCGCGCCCCCACGACCACACAGAACAACGCCAACGUGGCGCCGGUCAGUCCCAGCGCAAGCUUGAUCUUUGCCCACCGCCAGGCGCGCAGCGCUUCUGCAGCCAAGCCUGGUAACGCGGCGCCAGCUGACGCCGAGGACGCCAGCGAGAUCUUUACGACCUCACUCGCCAAGGCGGCCGAGGCGGCCUGGACCGUUUGUUCCGCCAGCAGUGCCGCCAAGACGCUUGCCUCGAGUUUCACGCCGCCGCGUCGUUCCAAAAACAUUCGCAACUUUUCCAGCGCCCGUCCCACGCGUUUCUUGGCAGCGUCUUCGCUGACCCCGAGCCGUUCACCCACUUCGCGGAGCGGGCGCUUUUCGUAGAAGCGCAGCAAGACCGCCGACCGGUCGGCUUCUGAGAGGGUGGACACGGCCUGAUCCAAGUGUGGGGCAAGCUGCGGCCAGGCCAUCUCACCAGAAUCCGGAGAAUGAAGGUCGUCGGUCAUAAUGCAGGCGGUCGUCUCGCGGUUUUUGCGCCGCAGUUCUGUGCGCAGGGCGUGGCUGGCCACAAAACGAGUCGUGCGAAAGAGCCAACCUCCCAGAAUGGUGCCGGGUCGAAGCUCACCGCUGCGGCGGGCCAGCAGGACGAACACGGACUGGGCAACAUCUUCGGCCAGAUACCGAUCACUCACUUGCCGGAGCGCCACCGAGUAGACCCAGUCGAGGUGGCGCCGGACCAAUUCAGCGAACGCCGUUUCCGAGCGGUUCGCGGCGUAGGCUUGGAGCAAUUCCCAAUCGCCCAUGGUGUUCAUCUUCAUCUAAACCUCAAUGCCCGCCAAUCCAGAAAGGGGACAAGAAAAAGACAGGCCUGCCCGUUGAGGCUGGUGUCACCUGAGCAUCUUCUUGCGCAUCAAAGUUCUACUGGGGCCCAGGCGCGGGCGAACGCGGCGGCGGUAGAUGGAGCGGCGCGGGUUCGGGCGGCGCUGUGAUGUAGUACUGGUGUCGACGGGCAGGGAACGGAACGGGGACAGACAGGUCCGGCCCGGAGAGGGGCGUCAUCGGUGUGGCCCCAAACACGACGCUCCGCGCACGCAAGUCCAGAUUUGUUAUCCAACCGCUGGCCGCCCAGGCCACGUCGGGGCCACGCACCAAUCGCUCCAUGAUUCGGCGUGCAGGGAAAUUGGUUUUGGUCGACACCCAGUCGUAAACCCUGUCCUGCAAGCGGUGAGAUAGAUAACCGAUUUCCGUCCGCCAGCUACCGU